rnacentral:rRNA from 1 species
UACGGAGGGGGCUAGCGUUGUUCGGAAUUACUGGGCGUAAAGCGCACGUAGGCGGCUUUGUAAGUUAGAGGUGAAAGCCCCGGGCUCAACCUGGGAAUUGCAUUCGAGACUGUGUGGCUAGGGUGCGGAAGAGGGAAGCGGAAUUUCCGGUGUAGCGGUGAAAUGCGUAGAUAUCGGAAGGAACACCAGUGGCGAAAGCGGCUUCCUGGUCCAGCACCGACGUUCAGGCACGAAAGCGUGGGGAGCAAACAGG